ensembl:lncRNA
GUGGUGCGGUCGGCGUUGGCGGCCCGAAGAGGAAGAGAUGACUGUUGGAAAGCGUUCCCCUCCCCCAUACGGCAGAACAGCUGCGGCUCCCAGGGGAAAGCCCCCGCAGGACACUCCUCGUGGGGUGUGACGGCUGUUGGUGGAGAAGGAGAAGAAGAGACUGGCUUUUAGAGCCCUCAAUGUAGCAAAAAGAGCCUGAAUCAGUAGGAGUGAUAAAGAAGGUAUAUAAGAUACUACAGAAACAUCCGUACCGGUUGCCUGGGCUGAAUUGUGAACUUGGGUUUGGUUUCUUUCUGCAAUCCCUACAGGGCCAUAAAUUCUUGGCCCUUCAGACUGUUUCUCGUUGGCCCGUAACAGACUCAGUGAUACCAUCAGUAACCACAAUUCACAGUGGAGUCAAAUUAUCUUAUUCCCACACCAGUUGGAGAACUGGAGAUUCCUUAGAACUUUAACUGUCAUGUUUCCAAAGUUGACAUGGAAAAUUUUACAUGAAGCUUAAAAAUACAACUAAUCUGUGGUGAUAGAGAUGAGAAGAGUUAAGCUCUAAAAUUAGAAGAGCAGUUCGUUUUGAGGCAGCAUUGAUUGGGAGGGAGCAUGGAGUAUAUAA